GAAGAACUCAGCGAGAUCCCUAAUGGCUUCUAACUAAAUUCCGACCCUCGGCGGCUAGGGUUUCUCGUGGGGUGCGUUCUCUCUCGCUUUAUCUACCCGCUCUCGGCGGCGGAGCCUCGUCGGCUAGAAUUCUUCUAGUGACUUUGGCUUCGCUUUGUGGCCUAGCAAAACUGUGAGGCUACGGCUUUAUGGUGGCAUGUAUUGUUGGGUUGCCUUAUGUAAAGUUGUCAUUAAAUUGCAUCAACGUGUUGUCGAAGAGGUGCACAUGUACUGAGGCCCCGUGCAAGUUCCAUUGUCCGGUCGCCUAAUCUGUCUGUGCAAGAAUAAGAAGGCUUUACGCUUUGCAGCACAAAUCAGCUGCGUUUGUGCUGCCUGUGAGAGAUUGAAGAUUACUUGCGCACAAGAAGAUGGUUCUCAAGACUGAGCUUUGCCGUUUUAGUGGUGCAAAGAUAUACCCAGGAAAAGGUUUUUCUUUUGGCCAACUCAAAAUGCAAGCGGUGCUUCCACAACUGUCUGAAGCCUGCUAAGCUUACCUGGACAGCAAUGUACAGGAAACAGCACAAAAGGAUAUUCAUGCUGAAGCUGUCAAGAAAAGACGUCAUACCAUUCAAGGUCCAUUGUUGAAGCUACUUUGGAAGUCAUUAAGAAGAGGAGAACUGAGAAGGCUGAAGUUCGUGAUGCUGCUAGGGAAGCAGCACUCAGAGAAAUCAAGGAAAGAAUAAAGAAGACCAAGGAUGAAAAGAAAGGCUAAGCAGGCUGAGCUGAUGGCUAGAACUCAGAAGACAGCCCAGACAAGUAGUGGACCAAAGGCUACAAGGGGCCCGAAACUUGGUGGUGGUGGUGGGAAGCAAUAAACUACAUCCCUUUCAGAAGCUAAAAAGUUGAAUGCUGGAGAAUGUGGAUUUUUUGGAUGCGCCUCCACUGAAGGUUUUACAAUAUCCAGAUGUAUCCUGUUGUUUUUUCAUGGAUUGUUAGUAUUUUUAUUGGUUGCAUCAGCUUACAAAACUAGCGACUAUUACUCUUGAGGUUUAAUUCUUGGGUCCUUGUUUUAAGUUAUUUCUUUGUCAUCGUGUGUGUGUGUGUGUGUGUGUUAACGACGACUCCUCUUCUUGAGCGAGUUUUUUUAAUGGAAAUAAUCAAAUCGUGUGAGAUGAUCUUUUUUGAAAA